rnacentral:rRNA from 1 species
GAAAGGCCAAUCAAACUCGGAGAUAGCUGGUUCUCCCCGAAAGCUAUUUAGGUAGCGCCUCGGACGAAUACUACUGGGGGUAGAGCACUGUUAAGGCUAGGGGGUCAUCCCGACUUACCAACCCUUUGCAAACUCCGAAUACCAGUAAGUACUAUCCGGGAGACACACGGCGGGUGCUAACGUCCGUCGUGAAGAGGGAAACAACCCAGACCGCCAGCUAAGGUCCCAAAGUUAUAGCUAAGUGGGAAACGAUGUGGGAAGGCUCAGACAGCCAGGAUGUUGGCUUAGAAGCAGCCAUCAUUUAAAGAAAGCGUAAUAGCUCACUGGUCGAGUCGGCCUGCGCGGAAGAUUUAACGGGGCUAAGCUAUACACCGAAGCUGCGGCAAUGAAGUUUUACUUCAUUGGGUAGGGGAGCGUUCUGUAAGCCGUUGAAGGUGUGCUGUAAGGCAUGCUGGAGGUAUCAGAAGUGCGAAUGCUGACAUGAGUAACGAUAAAGGGAGUGAAAAACUCCCUCGCCGGAAGAUCAAGGGUUCCUGUCCAACGUUAAUCGGGGCAGGGUAAGUCGACCCCUAAGGCGAGGCCGAAAGGCGUAGUCGAUGGGAAACGGGUUAAUAUUCCCGUACUUCUUAUAAUUGCGAUGGAGGGACGGAGAAGGCUAGGUGAGCCUGGCGACGGUUGUCCAGGUCCAAGUA